AUUUGGAUCACUGCCAGGACUCCCAAGGACAAGAAGGAAGUUGUGCUGUUUGACCAAAUCUUGGUUCAAGGAAUACAAAGACAAAAUCUCUUGGAGGUUUAAGGCUCAGCAGGAUCAGCUGAUCCUGAUCUUUGCAGACAAGAUCCUCAAGGAUGGGGACACACUGAACCAGCAUGGGAUCAAGGACAGGCUCACUGUCUAUCUGUUCACCCAGAAGUCUCAGAAGGCUCAAGUUGUGGCUGCUGCUACUGCUUCCUCACCCUCAACUCCAGACCCUGCCUCAGCAUCCUCCACCGUGACUACCCACCAUCCUGCAAGCCCUCCACCUCUGGCUGUACCACUUUGGAUGCUGGUGGUAGAAGCCAGAAGAGCAGUGGGGAGGCAGUUGCCUUUUUAGGGGUUGGGUUGGGGCCUUUUAGUGCUACUGCAUCCAAACUCUCUGGUUUUGGGGCAUCCUGGGGCUCAGCAGCAUGGACUUGGGCUCUACCAACUUUGUAGAGCUACAGCAGAUGCAGAGGCAGCCGAUGUCCAAACUUGAGAUGCUGUUGCAGAUCUUAGAGAGCCUUCUGGUCCAGGACAUGAUGUUUAUCCCUGGCCUGAUGUGCCACAGAUCAUGGCCAACACCCAGAUGCAGCAGCUGAUGGGGAAGAACCCCAAGAUGAGCUACUAUACUCCCCAACUCAAGUUCACGAGGCAGGUGAUAGAGCUUGUUUGGAAUCCAGCGUGAUGCAGGAGAUAAUGCAGAACCAGACCAGGGCCUGAGCAACUUAGAGAGCACCCCCAGAGGCUGCAAUGCUCUCUACUGCAUGUAUACAGACAUACAGGGGCCCAUGUUUAGUGCUGACCAGGAACAAUCCCUUCCCUUCCUUGUAUAGGGACCUAGCUCAUCCUCCCAACUGAGAAUUGAGAGCCCCUCCCUAACCUGUGGAAUCCCUCACCCCAUAUCUC
rnacentral:lncRNA from 1 species